GUAGGGAAUAUUGGUCAAUGGACGGAAGUCUGAACCAGCCAUGCCGCGUGAAGGAUGAAGGCGUUCUGCGUUGUAAACUUCUUUUAUCAGAGAAGAAACCACUGAUUUCUAUUAGUGUUGACGGUAUCUGAUGAAUAAGCACCGGCUAACUCCGUGCCAGCAGCCGCGGUAAUACGGAGGGUGCAAGCGUUAUCCGGAUUUACUGGGUUUAAAGGGUGUGUAGGCGGGCUAUUAAGUCAGGGGUGAAAUCCCGGGGCUCAACCUCGGAACUGCCUUUGAUACUAUUAGUCUUGAAUUAUGUUGAGGUUGGCGGAAUAUAACAUGUAGCGGUGAAAUGCAUAGAUAUGUUAUAGAACACCGAUUGCGAAGGCAGCUGGCUAAACAUAUAUUGACGCUGAGGCACGAAAGCGUGGGUAGCGAACAGGAUUAGAAACCCGUGUAGUCC
rnacentral:rRNA from 1 species